rnacentral:lncRNA from 1 species
CGUUUAUAUAGGAAUGAAUUAAAUUUACUCAUAAGUUUUUGGGUAACUUACAUUUUUACACAUACCCGCCAGUGAUCGGGGCGGGGGGUAGAGAUGUCAAUGGGUAUGGAUAUUCGAAAUUUUAUCCGAAUCCGAAUUCGAAUGAAACGGAUAUAUCCAAUGGAUAUGGAUAUAGAUUCGGAUAUAGAUAUCAAAAAUAAAAACCCGACGGAUAUGGAUUCGGAUAUGAAUUUUGAUUGUACCCGACCCGAACCCGAACCCGACCCCAACCCGAAUUUAUUUUGUAUUAUAUAUAAUAUAUAUAUAAAAAUUUGAUGUUAUAUUUGAAUUUAUAUUUUAAAAAUUUAGAUUUAAUAUAAUAUAUUUUGAAAUAUUCAAAAAAAAAUAAUUGUUUCGGAUUCAAAUUUUCGGAUUCGGGUUCGGGUUCGGGUUUCGGAUUUUUGGUCGGGUUCGGGUUUGGAUAUGGAUUUUUAAAAUCCGUCGGGUUCGGGUUUGGGUUCGGGUCUCAGGUUUGGAGUCGGAUUCGGGUUCGGGUUUUUAAAAAU